CUUAGGGUAGCAAAACCUGGCUAAUGCAAAAGGCCUAAGCCCUUUUACUAGGCGUUCAAAUCCCCUCCCUAACU
rnacentral:tRNA from 1 species